GCAGUUAUUUCUGAGACACUCAUUAUAUUUCCGGCAAUUUGGAAUCUGGAAAGAAGGAGUCAAUAAGCAAACAGGUUAACUGCUAGACCUAGGUUAGCACUAGAUCUCAAAAAGUGCUAAACCAGACAUGGGGAAGUGUUAUACCAUUGAUCACAGAGAUGCCCUUCCUGUUACUCAAGAAGCACAGUCAUUCUCAAAGCCAGGAUUGCUGGGGAGACAACAACGCCGCAGGUGAUCUGGAGGCUCCUGGAGGACCUCAGCGACUCAGGUCCAGUCCAAGGAGGGCCGCAGAUCAGGCUGAAGAAGGAUGGAUCCACAUGCUUAGAGGAGAUCGAGAAAUGCAGCUGAGAGGUACGCUGUAUCUCUCCUACACGUGAGACCCCAGGAAGGAAAAGGACAGCUUGCCAGGUGUCCCCCUCCCGAGUUUCUAGCCCCAUUGACUGUGGGCGACAUCCCUGCACACUCUGGAGCAGUGCUGAAGUGAGUUUGUAUUGUAAUCGAAGGAGUUCUGCUGGUCUGCUGCUUAAGUAGGAAGGUUUGAAUUGGUUUCUCUCCUUCUAUUCCUCAGAUCCCACACUGUAACUACUAGUUUCCAAACUGCUUAUGUUUAUCUUUUGAACAGGAUAUGCUGCACUUCCUCUUUUCUUAGAAUGUUUUGCCUUCACAUUUUACCUAGUUGGCAUGUAAGAGAAAAGUAAUUUUUAAAUAUUGUUUCUAAUUUCUAAACAACUGCAAAAAAAUUACAAUGAAUAUUUUUACAUAUGUCUAGUGCAUACAUGUGAAAAUUUAGAAGUGUGAGGUGUGUGCACGUGUGGGAUCAUUGGGUGGGAGAUUAUGUGCAUAUUCAGUAAUACAUGUGUCAAAAAGCUCUUCAAAGUGCUUGUGCCAAUUUAAACUUCCCAAAGAACUAUCUGAGAGUACCACUGUUCUACAUCUUCAAUAAUACUUAAUAAUUUUUAAAUGUUACCAAAUGUUAAAUUUUUAAAUUCACAUGAGUAUUAAUUAUGUAUCUUAAUAUGUAUUUCCUUAAGUAUUCAUAAAGUUGAGAACGUUUUCAUGCUAUUAGCCAGUGGUUUUCUUCUUUUGUAAAGUGUUUAUUCAUACCCUUCACUCAUAUACACAUGGUAUUGUUUGCUUUUUGGUGUUAUUCUAUAGAUGUUAUUUGUAAGUUCUGAAUACUAAUUCUAUAGCUAUUAAAUAUCUAACAUAUAUAUUUUUACAGUGUAGUUUGUACACUCUGUUGUGAUUUCUAUUAUAUUGUGUUAAUAAAACAAAAUAGAGAAAAAUAA
rnacentral:lncRNA from 1 species